rnacentral:rRNA from 1 species
AUUGAACGCUGGCGGCAUGCCUUACACAUGCAAGUCGAACGGCAGCACGGGUGCUUGCACCUGGUGGCGAGUGGCGAACGGGUGAGUAAUACAUCGGAACGUACCUUAUCGUGGGGGAUAACGCAGCGAGAGCUGUGCUAAUACCGCAUACGCCCUGAGGGGGAAAGCGGGGGAUCGCAAGACCUCGCGCGAUUAGAGCGGCAGAUGCUUGAUUAGCGUGUUAGUGGGGAAAAAGCCCACCAAGGCGACGAUCAGUAGCUGGUCUGGGAGGACGAUCAGCCACACUGGGACGAGACCACGGCCCAGACUCCUACGGAGGGCGGCGGUGGGGAAUUUUGGACAAUGGGGGAAGCCUUGAUCCAGCAAUGCCGCGGGAGUGAAGAAGGCCUUCGGGUUGAAAAGCUCUUUUGUCAGGGAAGAAACACCGGCUCUAACACAGUCCGGGAAUGACGGUACCUGAAGAAUAAGCACCGGCUAACUACGUGCCAGCAGCCGCCGUAA